rnacentral:rRNA from 1 species
GAUGAACGCUGGCGGCGUGCCUAAUACAUGCAAGUCGAGCGAACGGACGAGAAGCUUGCUUCUCUGAUGUUAGCGGCGGACGGGUGAGUAACACGUGGAUAACCUACCUAUAAGACUGGGAUAACUUCGGGAAAUCGGAGCUAAUACCGGAUAAUAUUUUGAACCGCAUGGUUCAAAAGUGAAAGACGGUCUUGCUGUCACUUAUAGAUGGAUCCGCGCUGCAUUAGCUAGUUGGUAAGGUAACGGCUUACCAAGGCAACGAUGCAUAGCCGACCUGAGAGGGUGAUCGGCCACACUGGAACUGAGACACGGUCCAGACUCCUACGGGAGGCAGCAGUAGGGAAUCUUCCGCAAUGGGCGAAAGCCUGACGGAGCAACGCCGCGUGAGUGAUGAAGGUCUUCGGAUCGUAAAACUCUGUUAUUAGGGAAGAACAUAUGUGUAAGUAACUGUGCACAUCUUGACGGUACCUAAUCAGAAAGCCACGGCUAACUACGUGCCAGCAGCCGCGGUAAUACGUAGGUGGCAAGCGUUAUCCGGAAUUAUUGGGCGUAAAGCGCGCGUAGGCGGUUUUUUAAGUCUGAUGUGAAAGCCCACGGCUCAACCGUGGAGGGUCAUUGGAAACUGGAAAACUUGAGUGCAGAAGAGGAAAGUGGAAUUCCAUGUGUAGCGGUGAAAUGCGCAGAGAUAUGGAGGAACACCAGUGGCGAAGGCGACUUUCUGGUCUGUAACUGACGCUGAUGUGCGAAAGCGUGGGGAUCAAACAGGAUUAGAUACCCUGGUAGUCCACGCCGUAAACGAUGAGUGCUAAGUGUUAGGGGGUUUCCGCCCCUUAGUGCUGCAGCUAACGCAUUAAGCACUCCGCCUGGGGAGUACGACCGCAAGGUUGAAACUCAAAGGAAUUGACGGGGACCCGCACAAGCGGUGGAGCAUGUGGUUUAAUUCGAAGCAACGCGAAGAACCUUACCAAAUCUUGACAUCCUUUGACAACUCUAGAGAUAGAGCCUUCCCCUUCGGGGGACAAAGUGACAGGUGGUGCAUGGUUGUCGUCAGCUCGUGUCGUGAGAUGUUGGGUUAAGUCCCGCAACGAGCGCAACCCUUAAGCUUAGUUGCCAUCAUUAAGUUGGGCACUCUAAGUUGACUGCCGGUGACAAACCGGAGGAAGGUGGGGAUGACGUCAAAUCAUCAUGCCCCUUAUGAUUUGGGCUACACACGUGCUACAAUGGACAAUACAAAGGGCAGCGAAACCGCGAGGUCAAGCAAAUCCCAUAAAGUUGUUCUCAGUUCGGAUUGUAGUCUGCAACUCGACUACAUGAAGCUGGAAUCGCUAGUAAUCGUAGAUCAGCAUGCUACGGUGAAUACGUUCCCGGGUCU